AGAGGAUGUAAACACUGGGGCUCACGUGGUCCGUCCUCAGGUGGAGGGAGGCCGCCUCCGUGCCCAACUGGCUGAGGGGAGCCUCACGUGAUCUGGGGAUAGACUCCGCCCUGCAACCCAAAGGACCAAUCAGGGGAUGAAGCUUGUGUGUCGUCACCCGUCGCCUAGGGGCGUUAAGCACCGACGAAGCAGCCACCCCUCCACCCCCAAGUCCCGUGUCUAUCAAAGGGGCAGGCAGGCGGGGCGCGGCGCUGCCUAGUGCAGCUGGCGGAGGGUGACGAACUCUCACCCGUCGGGAGCCACCGCCCGUCGCCCCAGAGCUGCAGCAAGGCCCUGCUGCCCCUGGCACCGGGGCUCGAUGCAGGGAGCAGGCACAAGGGGGAGCAGGUUCCAGAGAAGUGUGUUCAGAGGUCCAUGGUAAUGUUUCCUGCAGGAACUAUACCACAGUGAGGGGAAUCUGAAGAUCUCAGGUGUGAAGAGGAUUGGUUAAUAAGACUAAUGAUUUCACUAUAUCAUUAGAUAAUGAAUUACACCCUCUCACUGACUGCUACUAACUUCUCCCUGCAAGAGUUGACUCAUCUCUGGAUCCCAUUAAGACCGCUUCUGAAAAGCGAAUAUUUGCCUUUGGAGUGGUCCAACAGGAACCAAGUGAAAUCAGAAUGCAGCUAGAGUAAGGUGUUUUUUCUAAAAGUUUCUCCUUGAUGUUUACACUCUUUCUAUACUGUUACAGCCUUUGCUUUAUUUAAUGCACAGUAUACACAGUUCCAUCUAUCCCCAUAAUUAUUUUGCUUAUUUCUGAUCUCUUUUGACCUGUCAGCAUCUGUCUGGUAUUUAUGAAGACUUCAAAUAAUAUAUCUGGCCUAUCCACCCACUCAUAAUUUUAAAAUGAAUGCAGUUUCAACACAGUCAUCAAAGCCAAGGUCUCAUUUGCUGACCUAUGCUGGGUAACUCCAGUAGAACCACAAUUUUGUGAACUCCAGUCUUAUGAAUGACUGGCUAUAUGAUCCAUUUUGCCUGACAGAAAAAAGAAACAAAACAAAAUAUAGCAAAAGUGAUGUUGAUGAAGAACAAGUUGACAUCUCUUCACCUUCUGGUGCCUUAAGUGCAUUAAAAAUCACUUUGUAGUGGUUUGAAGGACAAGAAGAAAGUGAUGCAGUGCACUAUACUGCAACUGAUGCAUCAUACCUGCUGUAAUUCUGAGAUGUUCAAUCUUAAAUCUUUGAUUUUAAGAGCUCCUCAAUCCCCUAUUAGUUCAUAAAAUAGUGAUUUUUCUGUAAGCAGGAGGCCAAGAUCUCCUACUAUUUUCCCUAGAGUAUAUACCUCCAGUGUUCUGAGUAUCAUUCUAGCUCAAAUAGUUUCUAGUGCCCAAGCCUGUUCCUAGUGAUGCUAAUGGCAAAACUCUUUUCCUUUCAGUGGGGAAGGGAAGAAUGAAACCUUCAGUGUCAAACCUCUGAGAAUAGCUGCUAAUUGGUCAUGUUUUCUAGACCUUUAAUUCAUGCUGGCUGUAUCAAUACGUUGAUUUGCUUCUACCUCAGGAGCCAUUUAUCCGAGGCUUGGAAGUUAAAAGAAUUUUUCACAAGAAACAAAUAUUUCCUGACUAGCGCUUCGAAAUACCAUCUGCAUGCAGAACUGUUCAAGAUGCACAUUCAAGGCAGGCCAGAUGGUAACACUUACUCAUGCUGGAUACUUUACACCAGGAUUAGUCCCAUGAAGUCAAUGGAGCAACUUGUGGAAUAACAAACUCCAGAAGUAGCCGCAUUACAGUGUAACAACACAAGCUCAGAUUUGCAGUCAUGCUAUCAAGACACAGUGCUCUUCAGUAGUUUCCUUUCUGGAGAAGGAAACAGGAGCCUGACAAGUGUAAGAGGUAUGCAGUGUUAUAGCUAUCUUGGCCCCAGUAUAUUAGAGAGACAAGGUGGGUGAUCAUUAUUGUACCAACCUCUGUUGAUGAGAGAGAGACAAGCUUUCAAGCUUACACAGAUCUCUUCUUCAGACCUGAAAAUAUUACCUCAUCCAUCUUGUCUCACUUAGUGUAAUGUUGGUUUGUUUUUUAAAGUGACCUAGCAAUUGUUCCUGAGGAUGGGCAGUGUGAUCUCUUUCAUGGGAGUGGAUUCUGUGAAGUUUUGAGUCCUGCUUGAUCAAUGAAUAAAAGGCACUGGCUGACUGGUUAUUUGAGUGAAAAAUAAAGGCUUGUGACUGCUA